rnacentral:lncRNA from 1 species
UCCGAUCUUCUUUGGACAGAUUGAUCUGAAUGAGCAGGCAGCACCAGACCCACUAUCUGAUUUAAACCACUUUGCUGACUGGUGAUUUUCAGUUUUUCACACACAUUUGUAAACCUGAAUCGACGUUGUGUCGUCUAAUUUAGAUGGUAUAUUUUGUGUCAUUUCAGGAUCCUGGAAAUUGAUGUUAACUCGAUGGGCAUGGCUGAGCUAAGACGUUUUGAGGAAAUUGUUUCUGACGCUCUGACAGUUAUCAAGGUCAUAUAUAUGUAUAUGAAAUGGACCUGCAUUAUAAUCCCAUUGCAGAUAAUGUUCUCAUGCAUGGCGAAUGUGUUUAUAUAUACAAGAAGUUUGAGAGUUGCUUUUUUUUGUCUGCAGAACAAUCUGAGGAUGAAGGUGUCACAGCUCACCCAGACCGAGGUUAGUUUCAAAAGCUAUCAAAUCUCCAAAUUAAGUUCAGAACAAUAGAUCAACCAAAUUAAUAUCUAUACCCGGAGAGAUUAUAACAGUUGUGAUUAAUUAAACUCAUCUGAUCGAUAAGAAUUUAACAUCUGGUAGUUGGUAACCUUGUAUUUCUUGUGAGAGAAUCUUCUGACAGUUAGUAUUUUAAUUUUGGGGCUUAAUGACCUUGUAUUUCUCUGUCCAUGGCAAAAUUAAAGAGAAACCCACAGGAGAAAGCGAACAACUUGUCAAGCCAAGAAUCGGAGGAGUGAGACUCUGAGAAGAUGAUGGAGGGGAGGGCAUAUUGCAUAUAUACACUAGUUGUGUCUUCAGGUAUCGAUUUUUUGUCGGCGAAACGGCAGGGUCUCUGCUAUCCAUUGCGUCAUCUUGUAUCAAACGCUUGUAUUUUACAGUGCGUGUGUUUUCCCUAAAAUUAAAACCUAGGAAAGGAAAUAAUUCUGCAAUGUGAAUUCAGUACUCCAUCAUGUAUGGCCGGAGAGAAGAAAAGGCUGUCCAGCUGCAACGGGGCUUGGGCCGGAUGAAUUAUUGAGUUAGAGCGCAAGGCCCAGCCCGCCCGCUGAAAACGGUAGAGCGCAAGGCUUUGAGGUGCACGCGGCCACGCGGGCAGCACGGACAAAGCUAGGAGUUCCAGCGAGUAGCGAAACGUAGGCUGUACAUUCGUGAUAACGUUUACUUGAUUUGCUAGUUCAAAAUUUGAAGAUUUGAAGGCUGGCCUAGAGAUACAUGCAGAACCCCACUUGCCCCUGGUGCUCAUUUUAGCAAUGGGCAAUUGGGCUCCAUGAAAGUGAAACAAAGCAGCGAGCUUGCAGUGCACUUUCUAUGGCACACCACACGAGAAGCGAAUUCAAGUUCAAAGAAAAACAAAUCAUGCAAACAGCCAUAUAUAGUAUGCCUUGUCACAGUUUGCUACGAUAUGCAUAAUAGAUUACAGCAUGCAUCCUGAAUCCUACAGAACUCCAGGUCUGAUCCAUCUGCCUAUGUAGCAAAAAUAGAGGUGAAAUCCAUGACAUGGAUAAUGGAUAAGUAACACAAACCAACCAACCAAAAAUACAAACCCAGAGAUGUCACACAUGAAUAAUAAAACUUGGACAGGUUUCGUCAACAUUCCAGACAACAGCGUUAACCCAAGCAACGACAGUGCACAGGACACACAAGAGAAGAGAAAAUUCUGGCAAAUGCAUAUGAAGUCUAGCAAUUCCUUGUGAUAAAUUGCACCGGUUGGCAAUCAAACAAAAGAGUCUGCAGCAUCGUUCAGUAUUUCAUCGUUCUAACACAAAUCCCUGACCCAGUUCCUUGCUGACAAAGUUUUCGGUUUUCCUUAACCAUAGUUCAGACGGAACAUGUCAUUCUGCACAUAGAAGCUCCCACCAGCUGGCAGCAAAUGGAACAUCUGCAAAAAUAAUCAGUGUACCACAAGGUUAGCAAACACCAGGCAUCCUAAUAUGGACAGCAACUGACAUAAUUUUCAUUCACAUUAGGAUAACAAGGAACAGCAGUGUAUUUCAAUGGGCAAUCUCAUCCUGUCGGGACACGCCUAAUAGUAUAUUCAUGCCAACAGAGAGUGGCUACAAAAGAGCUGAACUAGGGGCCAUCCGAAAAUCAAGAACCACACAAGAGCAGACAGUUUGUAAAAAUGCAACACGAAGCAUCAUAUGUCUUGCCAAAUGAGAACUUGUUUGAUGAUAGGGGGGGGGGGGGGGGGGUAAAAGCUUGAUCUAGGUUGUCCUGACUCUACAUAAAAAUGUGCAGCGGUGAUUAUUAGGGUUAUAAUAGAUAGAUGACACACAAAUGUCAUAUCAGUUAACAUCACUAGCCAACUAAGAUGGCGAAGGGGUGUAGGUUAUUUCACUAGGAAAUGGGUUGACAUCCGUUCUUUGGUAGUCAUCAGAGAAUGUUCUCGCAUUUAUAUGUAGAAACUUGUUGCCCGUUUCACAUGCAGUAUACUCGACUUCAGGAGGCAACUCUUUCUCUCUCUAAAUGAGCAGCUAAAUAAGAGUACAUCACAGAUCACACAACCAUCAUCUAAUUAGUGCAUGGUAAAAUGAAAAUGAAAUGGUAGGCAAUGAAACUUAGAACCCCACCAAUGCAGUAGAUAUAUCACAACCUAAGACUCUGAAAGGCUACCUUCCAAAACUCUACUCCUUCCGUUCCAAAAUAUAAGGUGUAUUUCAAUUUCUUUGACCAAGGCUUUGAUCAAGAAUUACUUCAAUGAACAUGUGACUUGUGUGAUACAAAAUCAUAACCAUUAGUACUUUUGAAUACAAAUACAAUGAUAUCAAUUUAUUUCAGUUAUAUAUUAAUGUACUACUAAUUGUUGGUCAAAGGGAACGAAAUACGCCUCAUAUUUUGGAACAAAGAGAGUACAGAAAAUUGCUACAUAUACCACCCACCCCUCCCCAAGACACGUCAAGCACAAAUACUAAGUUUGUAACACUAGGGAGAAAACAACUCAUUAUUGCAGAUCAAAACAGAAUUCGAGCUCACAUAUGAGCCACGAAUCACACAAACCACAGCAAAACAAGCACAGUUGCAUAUCAGUCCUAAUUUCUCACAAUCAAGUGAACAAGAAGAAAAAAUCAAAAGCAUCUUCCAUCUCGUGGUGCUCCAGCAAGAAGAAAAUGAAGGGAUAAUGUUCUGCAGUACACACAUAAGAGUAAUACUUGAUCAGACUAACCAUUUUCUCAUAUUCAAAUUUUAUGCACCAGUUCAGAAAUCAUCCAUAAAUGUGAUCUAGUAGCCUUGAAAUCAUACCAAAAAAAUGUAGUAUUGAUGAAACAUCCACACGUCCAUAUUUCACUAGCAUGGCAAGAAUUGCACAGCACCAAACCAUGGGACAGGCUGGGACCCAAUAAAAUGAAGGAUCACACUUCAAAACACAAAACUAGCUAGAUUGGACCAAUAAAAAUAAAAUCCAAUGAUUCAUCAACGCACAUUACUAGUGAUGAAACAACCUAAAGCAAUUAGAAACAAAGAGCACGCUCACUACCAAAUUACCUGCCAUGAUAUGCUCCUCUGCCAGAUUGAGAAAAUCUAGGGACAGCAGAGGACGGAAGUAAACAAACAACUAACAGUAACAGAUCGUAUACACAGCUAGAUGCCAGCUGGGUCGUAUAACAGAUCAUAUAUGGAGGACACAGAUCGUAUAAACUAACAGUAGAGGAAGUAAAUCUGAAAACAUUGCUAGGAAAAAAUAGAACUCCUACCAAAAGGAGCAACCUAUGAUGAUAUAACGAAUAAGGAUAGAGCACAGCUCCGAGACAAAAAUCUAAUAACAUGGCAACUCACAAAACCAACACAAGGCCCGCUUCCGAACGAAAUAGUAAUUGCGCCCAAGUAUACUAAGCAAUCGAGUACCGCCUAUUGAUUACACAACGCUAGGAGAUUGAGCGGACCCAGCCAUCGUAACAGUGAGCACAGAUCAGAGAAACAAUUAUUCUGAACAAAUCGAGAGCCUUCCAGGGAAGGCCCCGUGACUGGGAUUUGGUACUGAAACGAUCGCAGGAGCAGUAACCGCAAACUAGAUCAGAUCAGCACGAGACAAGGACUAAACAAGGGAAGCGGAGGGAAGGGGAUCGAAUCGUGACCUGGGAGAACUUGAGGGGGUGCUCGCCGGGGCCGGUGGUGAUGGCGCCGGAGACGAAGACGAGGACGCCGCCCUGGGGCCCCGAGGGCUGGCAGUCGACGGUGUCGAUCUUGUGGUGGCACUGCUGGAAGGGGAGGGAGCCGAGCUUGCCGGCGAUGGCGGCGGAGCCGAGGAACUUGUCGCCCUCGAAGGUGAGCAUGGAGCCGUCCUGGUACAGCCCCACCAGCGCGCCGCGGUUGGCGUCGAACGUCUGGUAGUAGUGCUGCACGAACGCCUUCGCCACCGCGUCGGGGUCCAUGGCCUCUCCUCUCUCUCCCUCGCCGCGCCGCGCCUCGCCUGGGCCCUAGGGUUUGGAGCUCUGGAUGCGGCUUGGCUCGGAGGCGGAGCUCUUGGAUGCGGAAUGGGAAGAUGGGUUCGGGAAGGGGAAGAAAUAAUUGCUGGCUGCUAGUGAUCUGGAUUGGCCUUGGGGAGUUGGCGUGGGAAGGACGCUACGCACUCGGUGCUGGGCCCGUCGUUGGGAGGAAAGCUGCGUUGGGGCCCUACUUUUGUUUUUGUUUUUAAUUUUAAGCGGCCCAGCUGAGUGAUGUGUCCAGAGUGUCUGGAUUAUGGGCGCCUGGUGUUCAUGGGCUGGGAUUGGACCAUCAGAAGAAAAAAGAUCACUUUGUGUUCGUGUGCUAAUAAGGCCGUGUUUAUAUCGCUACAAAAAACGUAGAGGCAGUUUAGUCUAGUUUUUGAAAAAACAGAGCUUGUUGCGCGAGUUACUUUAUCAUUUAUUAUCGACUCUAGAUAUUGUGGUGAGUCUGCAUUCACUCUACCUUUGUGAAUACACUUAUUCUUGAAAUUUUACUAACCGAACCAUAAUAUUUCUAUCGAAAAAGUUAAAGAGCCUUAUAGACAACCUAACAUUCUUGCAGAAUAUAUAGCUUUUCAAUUAAAAAAUCGAGUUUCAUUCCGAAAGGCAAUAAAAAAAGCCAUUGAAUUAACUAAAAAAGCAGAUAUAAGGGGAGUCAAAGUAAAAAUAGCGGGUCGUCUCGGAGGAAAAGAAAUUGCACGUGCGGAAUGCAUCAAAAAGGGUAGACUUCCUCUCCAAACAAUUCGCGCUAAAAUUGAUUAUUGUUGCUAUCCAAUUCGAACUAUCUAUGGAGUAUUAGGUGUAAAAAUUUGGAUAUUCGUAGAUGAAGAAUAACUAAUCUUGUCUUCGCAUUCUGUGCAGUGAUAGAAUAAAAAAUGACAAGAGCCUUUUUUCCCGAAAUCCCUAAAAAAAAAAGAAAUUAUACCUCUUUCUAUAAGAUUUAAUGAAAAUUGGUAAAUCAUUUAAUAUAAUUGCUAUGCUUAGUGUGUGACUCGUUAUUUUUUU